UAUUACGAGCACAAGCUUAAAACUCAAAGGACUUGACGGUGUCCCACCCACCUAGAGGAGCCUGUUCUAUAAUCGAUACUCCCCGCUAAACCUAACCACUUCUCGCCUCUCAGCCUGUAUACCUCCGUCGCAAGCUUACCUUAUGAACGAUCAUUAGUGAGCAACAAGGCUAUUACACCUACACGUCAGGUCAAGGUGCAGCUCACGAAGUGGUGUGAAAUGGGCUACAAUUUCUAUAAUUUAGAACACACGAAAGACCCCAUGAAAUUAAGUCAUGAAGGCGGAUUUAGUAGUAAAAAGGAAAUAGAGUGUCUUUUUAAUCCGGCACUGGGACGCGU
rnacentral:rRNA from 1 species